CUCAGAAAAUCAGCAGAGUUCAAGGCAGAAACUCCAAAUCCAUAAUGAUACUUAAUGUUCACAAAGAAAAAUAAGUGCCAAACAUCAAAGAGAUCAUUUGUAACAGGAGAUAGUACAGGCACCUUCAAAGGCUUGGUCUAUAUCCUCAGCACAUCAGGGCAAGAGAGUUUGGAGAUCAAGAUUAUCCAAGGCUACAUACUGAGUUUGAGGAAAGCCUGGGCUGAAAGCCUAAGGGAAUAAAUCAACAAAUCAAUCAAUCAAUCAAUGAACGAAUGGUCAUGAAGACAUAAACACAAAAAAUUAUUAGCAAGCUUGUGCUUUCCACUUGCUCCCUUACUAUUUCUGUGAGUCACUACUAAAACUGCUGUCUUAAUAUUAUGGGAUAUCUUCCUUUCUUCAUCCUUUUGCAGUAUCUCCUAAAAAAAGAUACAACCAAGAUCCAUAAAAGUGUCUGCCUGAGCCUUUCUAUAUUGAGAAUGUGGCACUCUAUCAAGAAAUGUGUACAUUGUAUUGAUUGUGCUCCUAAGAAAUUAUAACCUAAAACCUCAGCUGGAGCAAAAAAGUGGCAGAAGCAAUCAAUGAGGUAAUGGCAUCAUCUCAAAGGAAGCAUGUUUACCAGCAUCUGCAUAUAUUCAAGAAAAGAAUAAGAAAAUAUGAAAAGUUGUUACAUGUUA